CAGGGAUUGCCUUAGUAACGGCGAGUGAAGCGGCAAUAGCUCAAAUUUGAAAUCUGGCGCUUGCGUCCGAGUUGUAAUUUGUAGAGGAUGAUUUUGGUUAGGUACCUUUCGAGUUCCUUGGAACAGGACGCCUUAGAGGGUGAGAGCCCCGUACGAUUGGAUGCCGAGCCUCUGUAAAUCUCCUUCGACGAGUCGAGUAGUUUGGGAAUGCUGCUCUAAAUGGGAGGUAAAUUUCUUCUAAAGCUAAAUACCGGCCAGAGACCGAUAGCGCACAAGUAGAGUGAUCGAAAGAUGAAAAGCACUUUGAAAAGAGGGUUAAAUAGCACGUGAAAUUGUUGAAAGGGAAGGAUUUAUGACCAGACUUUUUCUAGGAGGAUCAUCCGGUGUUCUCACCGGUGCACUUCUUCUAGUUUAGGCCAGCAUCGACUUUCGGCGGCGGAUAAAAGCUUCAGGAAUGUGGCUCCCUUCGGGGAGUGUUAUAGCCUGUUGUAUAAUACGCUGCUGGGGGUCGAGGUACGCGCUUCUGCAAGGAUGCUGGCGUAAUGGUUAUCAAUCACCCGUCUUGAAACACGGACCAAGGAGUCGAACAUUUAUGCGAGUGUUUGGGUGUUAAACCCUCACGCGUAAUGAAAGUGAACGGAGGUGAGAGCCCUUACGGGUGCAUCAUCGACCGAUCCUGAAGUUUUCGGAUGGAUUUGAGUAAGAGCAUAACUGUUCGGACCCGAAAGAUGGUGAACUAUGCGUGGAUAGGGUGAAGCCAGAGGAAACUCUGGUGGAGGCUCGCAGCGGUUCUGACGUGCAAAUCGAUCGUCAAAUCUGCGCAUGGGG
rnacentral:rRNA from 1 species